GCAGAGCAUCCUACGGGAGGCAGCAGUGGGAAUAUUGCACAAUGGGCGCAAGCCUGAUGCAGCCAUGCCGCGUGUAUGAAGAAGGCCUUCGGGUUGUAAAGUACUUUCAGCAGUGAGGAAGGUGGAUAUGUUAAUAGCAUAUUCAUUUGACGUUAGCUGCAGAAGAAGCACCGGCUAACUCCGUGCCAGCAGCCGCGGUAAUACGGAGGGUGCGAGCGUUAAUCGGAAUUACUGGGCGUAAAGCGCAUGCAGGUGGUUUGUUAAGUCAGAUGUGAAAGCCCGGGGCUCAACCUCGGAAUUGCAUUUGAAACUGGCAAACUAGAGUACUGUAGAGGGGGUAGAAUUUCAGGUGUAGCGGUGAAAUGCGUAGAGAUCUGAAGGAAUACCGGUGGCGAAGGCGGCCCCCUGGACAGAUACUGACACUCAGAUGCGAAAGCGUGGGGACGCAAACCAGGAUUAGAUACGCUCGGUAG
rnacentral:rRNA from 1 species